GGAAAGGCCAUUUUACCAUUAAAAACUAGUUUUUUAUCCAAGAAACUAGGAGAAUUGAAAAAUACUACCUGGCCAGUAUGUCCCCCAUCGCAAUGCGCCCCUCCUGGCCUGGGAUCCUGACUCACAGCUGCAUUUUCUCGUUCCCAGGUUCCCUGUCUGGACCUCUCUCCAAUUCCACCAGCUUCUGUGUUGAGAAAGGCCAGCCUCAGACCUGCUCCUCCUCACUCUCCUCUGUCACAGUUGUUUACUGGACUGUUUGGUUUGACUUCCUGUGGACAGUGUCCACAGCACCAGCAGUUUCCACGAUGCAGGUCACAUUACUGCGUCACCUGUCAGAGUCAGUCUGUUUAUGUGAUAUUGAGAGGACCCUGCUUCCAUGGACUGACAUUCUUGCGGACCUGAGCACAGAGCUGACUCUGCCAGCAUCUUUCCACACUAAGCCAGUUCUACCCCGUCCUAUGGGAACCCUGAGAGUUUGGGGCCACACAGGACAGAUGAACCCUCUGUGUGGUCCUGGGCGUGCCACUCAUCACAUUCAGCCCGCUUUCCCCUCUGCAAAAGGAAAACAG
rnacentral:lncRNA from 13 species